UUUUGACUACAUUGGCAGCUCAAGGAUGGUCUAUGACAUGGAGAACGGCAAGUUUCCUGUGCGGCUAGAGAACAUUGACUCCUUUGUGGAGCUGGGGCAGGUGGCCCUAAGGACGUCACUAGAACUCUGGAUGCACACAGAUCCUAUGUCUCAGAAAAAUGAAUCUGUGAAGAACCAGGUAAUCCACAGAGAAGAGAAAGGGUGGAAUUAGGUAUUGGCUAAAGAUGAACCCCACUGGUGUGUGAAAAGAAUCAUAAACUCAGUGGUACCCAUUGGUUCCCUGGAACAGAUAGUUCUUGUGGUCAUUCCAUACCUGAAUCCUACAGC
rnacentral:lncRNA from 1 species